GGGUGCUCCUACCUAAAUACAUGUAGAAAGAGAAUUUGCUUUUCUGCGCAACCACUGCACCAAAUUUGACUAGGUUUAAUGAACUUGAAAGAGAAACUUGGAAUAUAG
rnacentral:lncRNA from 1 species